GCAAGUCGAGCGGACCGACGGGAGCUUGCUCCCUUAGGUCAGCGGCGGACGGGUGAGUAACACGUGGGUAACCUGCCUGUAAGACUGGGAUAACUCCGGGAAACCGGGGCUAAUACCGGAUGCUUGAUUGAACCGCAUGGUUCAAUCAUGAAAGGCGGCUUCGGCUGCCGUUUACAGAUGGACCCGCGGCGCAUUAGCUAGUUGGUGAGGUAACGGCUCACCAAGGCGACGAUGCGUAGCCGACCUGAGAGGGUGAUCGGCCACACUGGGACUGAGACACGGCCCAGACUCCUACGGGAGGCAGCAGUAGGGAAUCUUCCGCAAUGGACGAAAGUCUGACGGAGCAACGCCGCGUGAGUGAUGAAGGUUUUCGGAUCGUAAAGCUCUGUUGUUAGGGAAGAACAAGUACCGUUCGAAUAGGGCGGUACCUUGACGGUACCUAACCAGAAAGCCACGGCUAACUACGUGCCAGCAGCCGCGGUAAUACGUAGGUGGCAAGCGUUGUCCGGAAUUAUUGGGCGUAAAGCGCGCGCAGGCGGUUUCUUAAGUCUGAUGUGAAAGCCCCCGGCUCAACCGGGGAGGGUCAUUGGAAA
rnacentral:rRNA from 2 species